rnacentral:rRNA from 1 species
GAUGAACGCUGGCGGCGUGCCUAAUACAUGCAAGUCGAGCGAACGGACGAGAAGCUUGCUUCUCUGAUGUUAGCGGCGGACGGGUGAGUAACACGUGGAUAAUCUACCUAUAAGACUGGGAUAACUUCGGGAAACCGGAACUAAUACCGGAUGAUAUUUUGAACCGCAUGGUUCAAAAGUGAAAGACGGUCUUGCUGUCACUUAUAGAUGGAUCCGCGCUGUAUUAGCUAGUUGGUAAGGUAACGGCUUACCAAGGCAACGAUGCAUAGCCGACCUGAGAGGGUGAUCGGCCACACUGGAACUGAGACACGGUCCAGACUCCUACGGGAGGCAGCAGUAGGGAAUCUUCCGCAAUGGGCGAAAGCCUGACGGAGCAACGCCGCGUGAGUGAUGAAGGUCUUCGGAUCGUAAAACUCUGUUAUUAGGGAAGAACAUAUGUGUAAGUAACUGUGCACAUCUUGACGGUACCUAAUCAGAAAGCCACGGCUAACUACGUG